GUGCUUGCUUCGGCAGUACAUAUACUAAAAUUGGAACGAUACAGAGAAGAUGAGUAUGGCCCUUGUGAAGGGAUGACAUGCAAAUUCGUCAAGCAUUCCAUAUUUUA
ensembl:snRNA U6 U6 spliceosomal RNA